UACGUAGGGUGCGAGCGUUAAUCGGAAUUACUGGGCGUAAAGUGUGCGCAGGCGGCCGAGCAAGUCGAGUGUGAAAUCCCCGAGCUUAACUUGGGAAUUGCGCUCGAAACUACGUGGCUGGAGUGUGGCAGAGGAAGGUGGAAUUCCACGUGUAGCGGUGAAAUGCGUAGAGAUGUGGAGGAACACCGAUGGCGAAGGCAGCCUUCUGGGCCAACACUGACGCUCAUGCACGAAAGCGUGGGGAGCAAACAGG
rnacentral:rRNA from 1 species